rnacentral:piRNA from 1 species
UAUGAACCAGCGGUGGUUUCCUUCAAAGC